rnacentral:rRNA from 1 species
UACGGAAGGCAGCAGUGGGGAAUAUUGCACAAUGGGCGAAAGCCUGAUGCAGCUAUGCCGCGUGUAUGAAGAAGGCCUUAGGGUUGUAAAGUACUUUCAUCGGGGAGGAAAAAACAAAACUAAUAAUUUUAUUUCUUGACGUUACCCGAAAAAGAAGCACCGGCUAACUCCGUGCCAGCAGCCGCGGUAAUACGGAGGGUGCUAGCGUUAAUCAGAAUUACUGGGCGUAAAGAGCACGUAGGUGGUUUUUUUAAGUCAGAUGUGAAAUCCCUGGGCUUAACCUAGGAACUGCAUUUUGAAACUGAAAUACUAGAGUAUCGUAGAGGGAGGUAGAAUUCUAGGUGUAGCGGUGAAAUGCGUAGAUAUCUGGAGGAAUACCUGUGGCGAAAGCGGCCUCCUAAACGAAUACUGACACUGAGGUGCGAAAGCGUGGGGAGCAAACAGGGAUUAGGAUACCCGU